GAUGAACGCUGGCGGCGUGCCUAAUACAUGCAAGUCGAGCGAAUGGAUUAAGAGCUUGCUCUUAUGAAGUUAGCGGCGGACGGGUGAGUAACACGUGGGUAACCUGCCCAUAAGACUGGGAUAACUCCGGGAAACCGGGGCUGAUACCGGAUAACAUUUUGAACCGCAUGGUUCGAAAUUGAAAGGCGGCUUCGGCUGUCACUUAUGGACGGACCCGCUUCGCAUUAGCUAGUUGGUGAGGUAACGGCUCACCAAGGCAACGAUGCGUAGCCGACCUGAGAGGGUGAUCGGCCACACUGGGACUGAGACACGGCCCAGACUCCUACGGGAGGCAGCAGUAGGGAAUCUUCCGCAAUGGACGAAAGUCUGACGGAGCAACGCCGCGUGAGUGAUGAAGGCUUUCGGGUCGUAAAACUCUGUUGUUAGGGAAGAACAAGUGCUAGUUGAAUAAGCUGGCACCUUGACGGUACCUAACCAGAAAGCCACGGCUAACUACGUGCCAGCAGCCGCCGCCG
rnacentral:rRNA from 1 species